CUGACGGUAAACAAUGCCAUCUAACGAGUUGAUAUUGGUUAUAUAAUUGCCAUUUUAACGAGUUAUACGGAAACGAAAGUCUUUCGGUUCCGGGGGGAGUAUGGUUGCAAAACUGAAACUUAAAGGGAUUGACGGAAAGUCACCACCAGAAAUGGAGCCUGCGGCUUAAUUUGACUCAACACGGGAAAACUUACCCGGUCUAGACACUAAAAUGAAUGACAGACUGAUAUAUCUUUCAAGAUAUAGUGCAAAGUGGUGCAUGGCCGUUCUUAGUUCGUGGAGUAAUCUGUCUGGUUAAUUUCGAUAACGAACGAGACUGGAGUGUUGAUUGUUAGAAUAUGUAUAAUAAUGUAUAUAUUCUUCCGAUACAGAUAAGUAACAUAAAUUACAUGAAAACUGGCAAUAACAGGUCUGUUAUGCCCUUAGUUGUCCGGGGCCGCACGCGCGCUACAAUGGAAAUUGCAGCGGGUAUAUAAAAACUGAAUUGAAAAAUUUGGUUAAACGUGUUAAAUUAUUCCGCAUUAGGGAUCGAAAACUGUAAUUGUUUUCGUGAACGAGGAACUUCAAGUAAGUGUGUGUCAUUAGCGCACGCUG
rnacentral:rRNA from 1 species